AUGACCCUGAAGUACCUAAUGUCCGACACCAUGUAACUUUUUGAAAGAACAUGUUUUUAAGGAGUCCAGUUGUGCAGAAGACAUCUCCAUUAACCGGUAAUAGAUGAAAUCGUUUGCUAUCAAGGUUUCCGUGCAGAAGAGCGAAAAUGCUGCAAGUGGAGGAUAGAUAACAGCUCAAGACACAUGGUAUGAGGGUGCAGGUAAACUGUACAUACAUAUGCAUCUGGAAAAAGUAAAAAGUAAAGGAGGGUGGCUGUAGCUUCUCCUUCUCGCCACAAUAGAAAAUACUUUUGAACUGCAUUAAGCUGUUAAUAAAUUAAGCUUAAGCUAUAUUUUAUUUAUCAAGAAUGGGUAAACUGUUUUAAAUAGAAAAAUUAAGUGCUUAUAUUAGGUACACUGUCAAUUUUACAAAGUUUUCUGGUAAAUUAGAUAUAUAGUUUAAUUCGCAGAGUUGUGUUGACCUUUACUUUUGGUGCGUCCCCUUUUUCCAAUCCCUAUAUAUCUGC
rnacentral:sRNA from 1 species